AUACGUAGGGGGCGAGCGUUGUCCGGAAUUACUGGGCGUAAAGGGUGCGUAGGCGGCCGAUUAAGUCAGAUGUGAAAUACCAGGGCUCAACCCUGGGGGUGCAUUUGAAACUGGUUGGCUUGAGUGCAGGAGAGGAAAGCGGAAUUCCUAGUGUAGCGGUGAAAUGCGUAGAGAUUAGGAGGAACACCAGUGGCGAAGGCGGCUUUCUGGACUGUAACUGACGCUGAGGCACGAAAGCGUGGGGAGCAAACAGGAUUAGAUACCCUGGUAGUCCACGCCGUAAACGAUGGAUACUAGGUGUAGGGGGUUAUGAUACCCUCUGUGCCGGAGUUAACGCAAUAAGUAUCCCGCCUGGGGAGUACGGCCGCAAGGUUGAA
rnacentral:rRNA from 1 species